ACGGAAGGCAGCAGUGGGGGAUAUUGCACAAUGGGGGAAACCCUGAUGCAGCGACGCCGCGUGAGUGAAGAAGUAUUUCGGUAUGUAAAGCUCUAUCAGCAGGGAAGAAAAUGACGGUACCUGACUAAGAAGCUCCGGCUAAAUACGUGCCAGCAGCCGCGGUAAUACGUAUGGAGCAAGCGUUAUCCGGAUUUACUGGGUGUAAAGGGAGCGUAGACGGUUUGCCAAGUCUGAUGUGUAAGGUGGGGGCUCAACCCCCAAACUGCAUUGGAAACUGGUAGACUAGAGUGUCGGAGAGGUAAGCGGAAUUCCUAGUGUAGCGGUGAAAUGCGUAGAUAUUAGGAGGAACACCAGUGACGAAGGCGGCUUGCUGGACGAAAACUGACGCUGAGGCGCGAAAGCGUGGGGAGCAAACAGGAUUAGAUACCCUGGUA
rnacentral:rRNA from 1 species